UACGUAGGGUGCGAGCGUUUAAUCGGAAUUACUGGGCGUAAAGCGUGCGCAGGCGGUUUUGUAAGUCAGAUGUGAAAAUCCCCCGGGCUCAACCCUGGGAACUGCGUUUGAAACUACAAGGCUAGAGUGUAGCAGGAGGGGGGUGGAAUUCCACGUGUAGCAGUGAAAUGCGUAGAGAUGUGGAGGAACACCGAUGGCGAAGGCCAGCCCCCUGGGUUAACACUGACGCUCAGGCACGAAAGCGUGGGGAGCAAACAGG
rnacentral:rRNA from 1 species